rnacentral:tRNA from 1 species
UGGAUGGUGGCACAGCCGGUUGUGCUUUCGAUUUGGGCUCUUUCCGUGAUGGUUCUAUUCCAUCCCCCAUCCAC